UAGCACUGCUGCUAGGCUAUCUUAUUGGAGACACACAACACACAUAAAGUAAAAAUUAAAAUAAAGUAAUAGAAAAGCAGUUUUUAAAAAGUACAGUAAACUUGCCCUCAGCAGAAAGAUGCUUACAUACUAAAACACAGGAAAUAAUUUAUGAGGCGGUUAAGGUCGUAAUCAGUGCAUCUGUGUAAGUUUACCUGGCUGUGAUUUAAAACAUUUCUCCCCCUGCCCCUAAAAUAUAAAGUGCUUGAGCUUAAGGGGGUGGGGAGAGGGGAAACAAAAAAACCCCACACCUUUUAAUAUUUUAAAAUACUAACUCAAUGCACAAAGACACCAACAAAAUGUACAAACCCCCAAACCCAGGAAAAUCUUUAAGUGGCUCAAAAGACUCAGAACUUCCCACAUAGCAUUCCAUUUCAAUUUUUAGGUCAAAAUGUGUGUCUUAAAUCUCCAGAUUAAGUCUUCAAAAUGAAUCAGCAUUAUAGCAGGCAGCACGCUAUAUUCAGGAGGUGACAGAUUAACUGUAAUCCAUUUAAAUGGCUUGCAGAAUUCCAUCUCCUUUAUAAAUAAGCCAUGUUGUGGACGCUUUUGAAGAAAAACAAACCAGAAGAGCUGUGGACUGUGGAGACCAAGGCACAGAGAAAGGCUUCAGGAAAAACAAAGCUGCAAAACAGAUGCAAAUAUUGAAGUUGGUGCAGCGACAAAAUAUAAUUUUACUUUUGAAGGCGCCUGUGAAAAGAAACCAUGUACUUCAGGGAAGAGUUAACACAUUGCACUGAUUCAAUCAACAAGCAUCAUCUUAGCUGGUUGGCUCUUUGUGAGGAAAUGGGCAUGGUGUAACCCAAGUAAAGCAAGUUCAUCUGCUGAAU